rnacentral:rRNA from 1 species
UACGUAGGGCGCAAGCGUUAUCCGGAAUUAUUGGGCGUAAAGAGCUCGUAGGCGGUUUGUCGCGUCUGCCGUGAAAGUCCGGGGCUCAACUCCGGAUCUGCGGUGGGUACGGGCAGACUAGAGUGAUGUAGGGGAGACUGGAAUUCCUGGUGUAGCGGUGGAAUGCGCAGAUAUCAGGAGGAACACCGAUGGCGAAGGCGGGUCUCUGGGCAGAUACUGACGCUGAGGAGCGAAAGCGUGGGGAGCGAACAGG